AGUGAACGCUGGCGGCAGGCCUAACACAUGCAAGUCGAACGGCAGCACGGUUGGUGGUACCUGGUGGGGGUGGCCGGACGGGGGCGGAUUAGAUCGAAACCGGACCUUACUUUUUGGUUAGCGCUGCGAUAGCGGGACUAAUACUACAAACGCAUUACGCCUGAAGGUGAGAGCCCGGCGUCUUUCGCCCUUGCGCGUUUGCAUGUGCCGAUGGCGGAUUAGCUAGUUGGCGGGGUAAAGGCCCACCAAGGCGACGAUCAGUAGCUGGUCUGAGAGGACGACCAGCCACACUGGAACUGAGACACGGCCCAGACUCCUACGGGAGGCAGCAGUGGGGAAUUUUGGACAAUGGGCGCAAGCCUGAUCCAGCCAUGCCGCGUGGGUGAAGAAGGCCUUCGGGUUGUAAAGCACUUUUGUCCGGAAAGAAAAGCUGCACGUUAAUACCGUCCUGGGAUGACGGUACCCAAAGAAUAAGCACCGGCUAACUACGUG
rnacentral:rRNA from 1 species